rnacentral:rRNA from 1 species
UGCGUAGGCGGAACUUUAAGUCAGUGGUGAAAUCUCUCGGCUCAACCGGGAAACUGCCAUUGAUACUGUUAGUCUUGAGUUCGGUUGAGGUAGGCGGAAUGUGUAAUGUAGCGGUGAAAUGCUUAGAUAUUACACAGAACACCAAUUGCGUAGGCAGCUUACUAGACCGACACUGACGCUGAGGCACGAAAGCGUGGGUAGCGAACAGGAUUAGAUACCCUGGUAGUCC